rnacentral:rRNA from 1 species
AGAGUAACAAUUGGAGGGCAAGUCUGGUGCCAGCAGCCGCGGUAAUUCCAGCUCCAAUAGCGUAUAUUAAACUUGUUGCAGUUAAAAAGCUCGUAGUUGAAUUUCUGCGUUAUCGAGUUAUUGACUCUUGUCUUUAAUCGAUUUCGCUUUUGGGAUUUAUCCCUUUUUACUUUGAGAAAAUUAGAGUGUUUCAAGCAGACUUUUGUCUUGAAUACUUCAGCAUGGAAUAAUAGAGUAGGACUUUGGUUCUAUUUUGUUGGUUUUUGAACCUUAGUAAUGGUUAAUAGGAACGGUUGGGGGCAUUCGUAUUUAACUGUCAGAGGUGAAAUUCUUAGAUUUGUUAAAGACGAACUACUGCGAAAGCAUUUGCCAAGGACGUUUCCAUUAAUCAAGAACGAAAGUUAGGGGAUCGAAGACG